ACUGGGUUUUGUUUUCAAAAACCUUGGUAAAAAGUAGAUAAUAGGCUUAAAUUUCAAAAACCAAACACCAAAAACCAAUAGUUACCUACUGAUGCCUAUAUUAUUUUGUUAUUCUGUGUUCAAUGACUCUUCUAUAUAAUUCUUGAAUAUGAAAACAAAUGUGGUAUGUGAUUGUUCACUUUAGUUGUAACAUUCUUAGUACCAAUUAAUAGAAGUUUUUGAGGGAGAUGGAGCAGAAGCACAUGAAGGAGACAUGGUGGAGUUCAAUUAUGUCUGCAGGCGUUCAAAUGGAUAUUUUGUUCAUAGCACCGUUGAUCAAUUCAGUGGAGAAAGCACACCAGUAAUCCUGCCUUUGAAAGAAAAACAGG